rnacentral:rRNA from 1 species
AGAGUUUGAUCAUGGCUCAGAACGAACGCUGGCGGCGUGGAUAAGACAUGCAAGUCGAACGCUAAUUAGAGGUUAGCAAUAAUCUUUAGUUGGAGUGGCGCAAGGGUGCGUAACACGUGGGUAAUCUGCCAUGAAGACUGGGAUAACUCGCUGAAAGGCGAGCUAAUACCGGGUAAGACUGUUGGGAGGCAUCUCUCGACAUUGGAAGCUGGGGACUGUUAAAGGCCUGGCACUUCAUGAUGAGCCCGCGGCCUAUCAGCUAGUUGGUGAGGUAACGGCUCACCAAGGCUAAGACGGGUAGCUGGUCUGAGAGGACGACCAGCCACACUGGAACUGAGACACGGUCCAGACACCUACGGGUGGCAGCAGUCGAGAAUUUUUCACAAUGGGCGCAAGCCUGAUGGAGCGACGCCGCGUGGGGGAUGAAGGGUUUCGAUCCGUAAACCCCUGUCAUUUGCGAACAAACCUUGGUUGUUAACAGCGACCAAGCUGAUUGUAGCGAAAGAGGAAGGGACGGCUAACUCUGUGCCAGCAGCCGCGGUAAUACAGAGGUCCCAAGCGUUGUUCGGAUUCACUGGGCGUAAAGGGUGCGUAGGUGGCCAGGUAAGUUCGGUGUGAAAGCUCGGAGCUUAACUCCGAAAUGUCAUUGAAUACUAUCUGGCUUGAGGGUCGGAGGGGAGACUGGAAUUCUCGGUGUAGCAGUGAAAUGCGUAGAUAUCGAGAGGAACACCAGUGGCGAAGGCGAGUCUCUGGACGACUCCUGACACUGAGGCACGAAAGCUAGGGGAGCAAACAGGAUUAGAUACCCCAGUAGUCC